rnacentral:misc_RNA from 1 species
GCAAACUUGGUCAUUUAGAGGAAGUAAAAGUCGUAACAAGGUUUCCGUAGGUAUGUAUUGCAUCAAUCCUCUUCCUCUUUAAUAUACAUGUGCUAACAUCAAAUUUCUAGGUGAACCUGCGGAAGGAUCAUUACUGAGUUUUGGGUGUUCUCUUUUGACGCCCGAUCUCCCACCCUUUGUUUAACUACAAUUGUUGCUUUGGCAGGACUGUUUUCUUCUCUUCGGGGGAGGGACUGCCGGAGGUUGGGUUUCCGACCUCUGGAUUGUUUGCCUGCCAGUAGCCAACUCCAAAUUCUUUUUUAAUUAUGUCGUCUGAAUUCUUUAAAUAAAUUUUAUUUAAAACUUUCAACAACGGAUCUCUUGGUUCUGGCAUCAAUGAAGAACGCAGC